rnacentral:lncRNA from 1 species
UAAGGCUAAAUAUUAAAUAAUGCAUGAUAUGAACCCUUCAACUAGUGAACUACUGAAUAUUUAACACUCUUUCUGUCUCAUUCUCAGAUGCAGAGAGGGAAUCUGACACUAAAAGAGCAACGCUGUGCACUACAGCAACACCACAGAGACACGGUGGAGCUACAGGCCGAAAGAGAUCUCAAUCGCACGCUACAGGAGACAUGUCGGGUCUUAGAUCUCUGACACUGUCCCAGAUGGACCCUCAGCUCUUGUGUUCCAUGCAAAAUUACAGGAGCCAUUAGUAUCCAUCCUCCUUUUCUUCUUUCAUCUCUUUCUCAGUUUCUGUUUGCUUUGUGAUUCUCUCUCCUCAUUUUCCUUCCCUUGUGCAGUAUCAGCAAGCUACAGUUCCCUUCAUCUUCCUGUCUGUUACUCCCUUCAGGUCAUCAAUACUGCAAGACCAACAAAGUGCUGGAGAAUUGGCAUUAUGUAAAGGAAUAAUCAGGGCUUUUGUGCUGAAUGCUGCUGUUAUGUGUGUGCAGCACCUGGAAGAGAGUUUGAAACGGCUCCAGGAUGAGGCAGAAGUGAGACUCAGGGAAGUUUAUCUGGAGUCACAGCAGAUCACAGAGAACAUGGACGAGGACCACAGAGGGCUCUGCUCUAAAUCUGAGAGCUUUAAUGGCCACAGAAACUCACAGAGAGCUUUUGCAAGAUGGGAAAAGACAGCACAUGGUCCACUUCAGCUCAAGUAG